rnacentral:rRNA from 1 species
CCUACGGGAGGCAGCAGUGAGGAAUAUUGGUCAAUGGGCGCGACCCUGAACCAGCCAAGUAGCGUGAAGGAUGACUGCCCUACGGGUUGUAAACUUCUUUUAUAAAGGAAUAAAGUGAGGCACGUGUGCCUUAUUGCAGGUACUUUAUGAAUAAGGAUCGGCUAACUCCGUGCCAGCAGCCGCGGUAAUACGGAGGAUCCGAGCGUUAUCCGGAUUUAUUGGGUUUAAAGGGAGCGUAGAUGGGUUGUUAAGUCAGUUGUGAAAGUUUGCGGCUCAACCGUGAAAUUGCAAUGCAUACUGGCAGCCUUGAGUGCACUGGAGGUAGGCGGAAUUCGUGGUGUAGCGGUGAAAUGCUUAGAUAUCACGAAGAACUCCGAUUGCGAAGGCAGCCUACUAAACUGCCACUGACAUUGAUGCUCGAAAGUGCGGGUAUCAAACAGGAUUAGAUACCCUGGUAGUC